GUGCCUCCCAUCUCCUAGCUCGGGACCCCGCGCGGGGAGAGGCGCCAGUUGGGGGUCCGGUCGGCCACGCCACCUACGCCGGGACGGCUGCCUCCGCGGCGCGACGCUCCCACGGACUUAGCUGGGAUGCAGAAUAGAAGCUGGGCCUUUGUCUGACUACCCUGCAACAGUCAGCCACAGACGGGAAGGCAGCGCAGGAAACUGAGGCCAAAGGAGCCGCGCUUCCUCAUGAGCAUGAAGCGGCAAAGCCUGAACUAGAAGCUUCUAACGCCUAACCGUCCUCUUGCCGCACCAGGACCUACCUCUGCAAGGCCCUUCCUGACUUUUUCCUUAGAAUGUGUGUAUAUGUGUCUUUUUCCUUUUCUGAUGCUAAGACACCUCAGAAACACCAAUGUUAAGCAGAUUUCCAUCGUUGGAGGUUAAAACACCCGAAUACAAGUGUUUUCUUGAGUGUGGCAUCUGGUCAGAUGUUUUAUGGGUUGGUUUGUUUUUAAAAAAAAAAAAUUUCCUGUUAGAUGGGUGGUAAGAACCAGUCAGAGUUUGUAAACCCACCAAGCACGAGGCGGUCGGACCGUCCAGAUUCUGGAGUCCAGAAGACACCAAACGUUCUCAGAAUGCCGAACGCGGGCGCCACCUGGUGGGACUAGAACGCUUAUUGUCCCAAAUCAGCAUAGCACACAGUUCCCAUAAAUCUUAAAAAUUCCCAUCCAAGGCUCAUUUCCGUGUGACUAAAAGUCAUAUUCUCUGUUCUCGUGACUCCAAGUAAAAAUGUCCCUAAAGAGCCAAAGUAUCUUCACUGUAUAAACUAAUAAUCUAUUGGUUUGGGGAAUUUUAUUUUUUGUGAUCAAUGUUACUUUAGCCUUUCUAUGAUAUACAUAUAAAUAAAAAAGUUUUCUUCCAUGA
rnacentral:lncRNA from 1 species